UCGAGAAUAAUUCACAAUGGGGGCAACCCUGAUGGUGCAACGCCGCGUGGAGGAUGACGGUCUUCGGAUUGUAAACUCCUGUCAUCCGGGAGAAAGACCUGGCCGUUAAUAGCGGACAGGGUUGAUAGUACCGGAAGAGGAAGGGACGGCUAACUUCGUGCCAGCAGCCGCGGUAAUACGAAGGGUGCAAGCGUUACUCGGAAUUACUGGGCGUAAAGCGUGCGUAGGUGGUUGUUUAAGUCUGAUGUGAAAGCCCUGGGCUCAACCUGGGAAUGGCAUUGGAAACUGGGCAGCUAGAGUGCGGUAGAGGGUAGUGGAAUUCCCGGUGUAGCAGUGAAAUGCGUAGAGAUCGGGAGGAACAUCUGUGGCGAAGGCGACUGCCUGGACCAGCACUGACACUGAGGCACGAAAGCGUGGGGAGCAAACA
rnacentral:rRNA from 1 species